rnacentral:rRNA from 1 species
UACGAAGGGGGCUAGCGUUGCUCGGAAUCACUGGGCGUAAAGCGCACGUAGGCGGUUGUUAAGUCGGGGUGAAAUCCUGGAGCUCAACUCCAGAACUGCCUUUGAUACUGAAGAUCUUGAGUUCGGGAGAGGUGAGUGGAACUGCGAGUGUAGAGGUGAAAUUCGUAGAUAUUCGCAAGAACACCAGUGGCGAAGGCGGCUCACUGGCCCGAUACUGACGCUGAGGCACGAAGCGUGGG